UGAGGAAUAUUGGACAAUGGGGGCAACCCUGAUCCAGCCAUGCCGCGUGAGUGAAGAAGGCCUUAGGGUUGUAAAGCUCUUUCAAUUGUGAAGAUAAUGACGGUAGCAAUAGAAGAAGCUCCGGCUAAAUUCGUGCCAGCAGCCGCGGUAAUACGAAUGGAGCAAGCGUUGUUCGGAAUCACUGGGCUUAAAGCGUGCGUAGGCGGAAACGAAAGUCAGGAGUGAAAUCCCAGGGCUCAACCCUGGAACUGCUCUUGAAACUCCGUUUCUAGAAUCCGGUAGAGGUCAGGAGAAUUCCUAGUGUAGAGGUGAAAUUCGCAGAUAUUAGGAGGAAUACCAGUGGCGUAGGCGCCUGACUGGGCCGGUAUUGACGCUGAGGUACGAAAGCGUGGGGAGCAAACAGGAUUAGAUACCCCCGUAGUCC
rnacentral:rRNA from 1 species